CCUACGGGAGGCAGCAGUGAGGAAUAUUGGUCAAUGGACGAGAGUCUGAACCAGCCAAGUAGCGUGAAGGAUGACUGCCCUAUGGGUUGUAAACUUCUUUUAUAUGGGAAUAAAACGUUCCACGUGUGGGAUUUUGUAUGUACCCUAUGAAUAAGGAUCGGCUAACUCCGUGCCAGCAGCCGCGGUAAUACGGAGGAUCCGAGCGUUAUCCGGAUUUAUUGGGUUUAAAGGGUGCGUAGGUGGAUUGUUAAGUCAGUUGUGAAAGUUUGCGGCUCAACCGUAAAAUUGCAGUUGAAACUGGCAGUCUUGAGUACAGUAGAGGUGGGCGGAAUUCGUGGUGUAGCGGUGAAAUGCUUAGAUAUCACGAAGAACUCCGAUUGCGAAGGCAGUUCACUGGACUGCAACUGACACUGAGGCUCGAAAGUGUGGGUAUCAAACAGGAUUAGAUACCCCGGUAGUC
rnacentral:rRNA from 1 species